rnacentral:lncRNA from 1 species
GGCAAACACUAAAUAUACUUACAUUUAAAUGUUAAUUGUGCCAUCAGCGAUGCCGCUCCAACUCCCACUUAGGUCCGCCAUUGUUGUUGUUUUUUAACGAGCCGGCAAAGCCGCGCGCAUGGGAUUGUGGGUGAUUUGGGAGCGCGAAAGACAGACAGUGCGUCUGUCCAAUCAGGAGGGUCCGUCCACUGCUAGAUAGGCCCUACCUUUUCCGGUAGAAGUUAAUGCCGUUGUGUUUUGUGAUUUAUUGAAGUGUUUUCCUAUUUGCUGUCAUGUUUUCAUAUUUGCUGUCGUGUUUUCAUAUUUGCCGUUUUGUUUUCCUAUUUGCUGUCGUGUUUUCCUAUUUGCUGUCGUGUUUUCCUAUUUGCUGUCGUGUUUUCAUAUUUGCCGUCGUGUUUUCCUAUUUGCCGUCGUGUUUUCCUAUUUGCCGUCGUGUUUUUCUAUUUGCAGUCGUGUUUUUCUAUUUGCCGUCGUGUUUUCCUAUUUGCCGUCGUGUUUUCCUAUUCGCCGUCGUGUUUUCCUAUUCGCCGUCGUGUUUUCCUAUUCGCUGUCGUGUUUUCAUAUUCGCCGUCGUGUUUUCAUAUUCGCCGUUUUGUUUUCCUAUUUGCCGUCGUGUUUUCAUAUUUGCCGUCGUGUUUUCCUAUUUGCCGUCGUGUUUUCCUAUUUGCCGUCGUGUUUUCCUAUUUGCCGUCGUGUUUUCCUAUUUGCCGUCGUGUUUUCAUAUUUGCCGUCGUGUUUUCCUAUUUGCCGUCGUGUUUUCCUAUUUGCCAUCGUGUUUUCCUAUUUGCCGUCGUGUUUUCAUAUUCGCUGUCGUGUUUUCCUAUUCGCUGUCGUGUUUUCCUAUUCGCUGUCGUGUUUUCAUAUUCGCUGUCGUGUUUUCAUAUUCGCUGUCGUGUUUUCCUAUUUGCUGUCGUGUUUUCAUAUUUGCCGUCGUGUUUUCAUAUUUGCCGUCGUGUUUUCCUAUUUGCCGUCGUGUUUUUCUAUUUGCCGUCGUGUUUUCAUAUUUGCCGUCGUGUUUUCCUAUUUGCCGUCGUGUUUUCCUAUUUGCCGUCGUGUUUUCAUAUUUGCCGUCGUGUUUUCCUAUUUGCCGUCGUGUUUUUCUAUUUGCUGUCGUGUUUUCCUAUUUGCUGUCGUGUUUUCAUAUUCGCUGUCGUGUUUUCAUAUUCGCCGUCGUGUUUUCAUAUUUGCCGUUUUGUUUUCCUAUUUGCCGUCGUGUUUUCAUAUUUGCCGUCGUGUUUUCAUAUUUGCCGUCGUGUUUUCCUAUUUGCCGUCGUGUUUUCAUAUUUGCCGUCGUGUUUUCCUAUUUGCCGUCGUGUUUUCCUAUUUGUUGUCGUGUUUUCCUAUUUGCCGUCGUGUUUUCCUAUUUGCCGUCGUGUUUUCCUAUUUGCUGUCGUGUUUUCAUAUUCGCUGUCGUGUUUUCCUAUUUGCUGUCGUGUUUUCAUAUUUGCUGUCGUGUUUUCCUAUUUGCUGUCGUGUUUUCAUAUUCGCUGUCGUGUUUUCAUAUUUGCCGUCGCGUUUUUCUUAUUGCUGUUGUGAUUUGCACUUCAGGGCCACCGUACAAAAUAGUCUUCACAGUCUUCACUGGCAGCAGCUAUUUGUUUACAAUAUGCCAUGCUGUUGUCGACAUCCAUUCGGGGUUUUUUUAGGACUUAUCUGAUGUAUACAUGGUAGGUAAAAGUUAACAUAGCAUACACCCAGGUAAGAGAAUGUGAAAAUGUAAGUCUUAAUAUAUGUUUGUUUACAUGG